AAUAAUAAUAACCUAAACGUCGAUUAAUACCUCAACCUAAAACUAAAUUGUCCUAAGACUGUAGCCUAAAUCUCUCUGAAGCCUGAACAAAAAUUCAACAUCAAAAUUCAAAUUAUUAACCUAAAUAGUAAAAGGCUACAAAAGCUUAGGUAAAGAAAAUUAAAAACUUCAAUCCAAAAACAAAAACUAGACUGCGAAACGAAAAGUACUUGAAAUGCUUAAGAUGUUGGGGAUAGGUUUUUCAGGGGUGGGUAAGAUGAAGAGUAGGGUAUAUAUAUUCCAAUAAAAUUGACAAUUAUCAGCCUUAUUGAACGUGUUAUUGCUUCCUUACAGGUUUGUGGGUGCUUCGGAUGAACUCUAAUGGAAAAAGGAAUACCUCACGCAGACUUUGACCGGAGAGAUGCCUGGUGAACAUUAGUUUGGUCUGAGACCGAUGGCUAGGAGCACAAUGACCCCUCCAGUCAGACUCCGGUGAGGUACUUUCGGUCUAUUGUUACUUACUCUAAUGGCUGGUAUUGUAGACUAACCCUAAAUUAAAGCUAUUAGUCCCCUAGUAUAUUACUAACUAAACUAAGACCAUAAAUUAGGGCAGACUAACAAUAAGAAGUGUUUACCAGGAGCCUUCUGCUCAAACACCAGGAAGGUUGACGGCUUCGCGGACUAAUUUAUUUGAAAUCCUGCCGGGACCGGAAACUCCUAAUCCAUCACAAGAAAAACUUCCUAGCAAACACUUACCAUUUCUAAUUAAUUCAAACUAUUGCAAUUAUAACAAACCUUAACUCUAGUCUAACCUAUGGCUACCAAUCCUAAUCUGUCUAACGACUUCCGAUUGGGUCCUAGACUAAAUGCGAAUUCGUUUGUCUUUCUAAGGCACGAUUUAGAGUAUUGGCAAACGCAGAGGACUCUUGAGAUUAACCCUACGUGACCUAAAAUCUAAAUCGUACUACUAAACUAAACCUAUGUUUCUUUUUCGGGCCCCACGUUGGGCGCCAUUUUGUCCUGUCCUGGUUCAAUAAUGGUUUUAAUAUUUUCGAUGACCGCUUGUCGCUUGCUGGCAUGAUGGCGUAUGCGCGGCUAGUGCUCGCCGGAUGGGGUGGUUCUUUGCGCAAGCGAAUCAAACACAGGAACAAAAAAAGUUUUACAUGCCAGUCUAGAAAAGUAAAGGGGAUGUCUGGCCCGAAAGAGAAACAGCAACUAAACUAACUAAUAUGUCUAAUGAUAAAAAGGAAGCACCACACCUACCUGCCGGAAUGCCUUCUCGUCUGGUGUUCCGACGAGGAAUAGCCCUCCCUCUGGAGCAGGAGCUCCACCAUAGCAACAAAGGAAACCUGUUGCCCCGUACCUACCUCUUCAUCUUACUAUCCCCCUCCUAUCCCCUCCUUAAGAUCUACACGAUCUUAGUAAAAGACAUCAUUUUUUUCAAGAACGUUAUAAACAUUUCAAGUUGGUUUUAUUUCCUAAAGCAAUCCAUAAUGGCCUCAUCAAAGUUCAAAAAUUCACAUUCUUUAAACAUUGAUUAAAAGGGUAAAACUAGUCACGACGUUACUGCAAUUCAAUAGACUUUAGCUUAAAAAAAAAACAAUGUAAAAGAAACUGAUACAUAUACUAAUAUUUAUGGGUACAUGGCUAGAUUUAAUCGGAUUUAAUGGCCUCUCAUCGCUUCCUCUUCUUCUUUCAGGGCUCCCGCCGCCGAACAUGGGUCUGCCCCCGCUGGAAGCUUACGUGCUGUCCGUCCGUCUAUGUCCGUCCAAAUCUUGUAAUAGUAUUGUGCCAUUAUCUCACGCCUGAAAGGAUGGCAUUCGGGUUGAUUUGGCUGGGACAAACAUCCCUACGGAAACUCCCUACCUGGCUAGAAAGAGCUCUAUCUAUGGGGUAUGGAACUAGACCAACCAAAGCUAGACUUGGUCUUUUAAAAGAUAAGUAUAAACCAAAUAUAAUAAAAAUGCCUACCUAACAAAACUAAUUUAUUCUCUUCUAUUUUUAGAUAAUUUAUUCGUCCGUCCGUCCGUCCGUCAAUGUGUGGAGUAUAGGAGUAAGUCUAGGUAAGCUAUCACCUGGGGACACUGCUGAAUGCGAGUGCCUUGUUCUGGAAGUCCCACGAUGGUGCAGAAAGGAUGAGCCGGUGGUGAGCAAGCUGAGCGGUUGUUUUAAUCGUCUUUUUUUUUCAAUUGAUUUUAGUUUAUAAUUAGUUCGUAAUGUAGUUCUUUUUUUUUUUUUUGUUUUAAUAAUAACAGCUUUUUAUUCAGUUUCUUUUGCUUUAAAAGAUUAGCUAUUAAGUUGGUUUUUAAGCGUAGCUUUUAAUGCAAUUUCUAAUUCAAUAGUUGGUAGUUUAGUUUUAAAGAUAAUUUGGUUUUCCUCUUUCUUGUUGAUUAGUUUUUGAAAGUUCUUUGGUUUUCUUUUUUUUUUUUUCAAUAAAGAAAUAGAAACAGUU